AGUGAACGCUGGCGGUAGGCCUAACACAUGCAAGUCGAACGGCAGCACAGUAAGAGCUUGCUCUUACGGGUGGCGAGUGGCGGACGGGUGAGGAAUACAUCGGAAUCUACUUUUUCGUGGGGGAUAACGUAGGGAAACUUACGCUAAUACCGCAUACGACCUACGGGUGAAAGCAGGGGAUCUUCGGACCUUGCGCGAUUGAAUGAGCCGAUGUCGGAUUAGCUAGUUGGCGGGGUAAAGGCCCACCAAGGCGACGAUCCGUAGCUGGUCUGAGAGGAUGAUCAGCCACACUGGAACUGAGACACGGUCCAGACUCCUACGGGAGGCAGCAGUGGGAAUAUUGGACAAUGGGCGCAAGCCUGAUCCAGCCAUACCGCGUGGGUGAAGAAGGCCUUCGGGUUGUAAAGCCCUUUUGUUGGGAAAGAAAAGCAGCAGGUUAAUACCCCGCUGUUCUGACGGUACCCAAAGAAUAAGCACCGGCUAACCUCGUG
rnacentral:rRNA from 1 species